GAUGAACGCUAGCUACAGGCUUAACACAUGCAAGUCGAGGGACCGGCGCACGGGUGAGUAACACGUAUCCAACCUGCCCUUUACUCGGGGAUAGCCUUUCGAAAAACAGAUUAAUACCCGAUGUAAAGGAUGGGGAGGCGUUCCAUUAGGUUGUUGGUGAGGUAACGGCCCACCAAGCCUUCGAUGGAUAGGGGUUAGGAGAGGAAGGGCACCCACAUUGGAACUGAGGCACGGUCCAAACGCGUACGCGAGGAAGGAGAGCGGACGAGUGGUAAAUGGGCGUUAGCCUGAACCAGCCAAGUAGCGUGAAGGAUGCAGGCUUGUGUGUCGUAAACUUCUUUUAUAUAAGAAUAUGUAUUCUAUGAAUAAGGAUCGGCUAACUCCGUGCCAGCAGCCGCGGUAAUUC
rnacentral:rRNA from 1 species